UCGCAGGUAACUCAAUUGGUAGAGCAGCGGUCUCCAAAACCGCCGGUUGCAGGUUCGAGUCCUGCUCUGCGGGCCA
rnacentral:tRNA from 1 species